rnacentral:rRNA from 1 species
UACGUAGGGUGCGAGCGUUGUCCGGAAUUACUGGGCGUAAAGAGCUCGUAGGUGGUUUGUCGCGUUGUCCGUGAAAACUCACAACUCAAUUGUGGGCGUGCGGGCGAUACGGGCAGACUGGAGUACUGCAGGGGAGACUGGAAUUCCUGGUGUAGCGGUGGAAUGCGCAGAUAUCAGGAGGAACACCGGUGGCGAAGGCGAUUCUCUGGGAAUAUCCUGACGCUGAGGAGCGAAAGUGUGGGGAGCGAACAGG